AAUACCUGUCUAUGCACAAUGAAAAGACACAAAAUCAAGUGAAUAUAACUGCAUACUCCCCAAAAGAUACUAUAGAGAGACAAUUUACAGAAAAGUAGCCAAUCAGCUCUAUUUAUACAUGACAUAAAUAAUGUGGUCCCUUGUAUACACACUAUUACUGGCCUCCUGAGUGCCUCCUAGCUCAGUCAUUACUCUAUGUGCAGCAGGGUGAAAGUGAUGGAUAUAUGUCUCCAAUAUCAGGGUCCAGGAGAUGCUCAGUAUUUGCAUCCAUGCCCAUACUAACUGUGCCCAGCAGAUG